GGGCUCCGAAAGGAGAGCGUGGUGUCUGGAGGUGAUCGGAAGGGACUGGCUGGAGUGUGGCGGGCUGACAGGUCUGAGGCCUGAAGGACUUCCGGGAACCGCAAAGCACGGUGUGCCUCCGCUGUCCUGAAGAAAAAGCCGCGCGCGGACGACUGGCCGGCCCGCGCUUGCAGCUCCCAGAAGUUGACAGGCAUCCUCCGGUGACCGGUGUGAGUAUGGCAUCAGGAUGAUUUGACUGCAAGCAACAGAAAAAUCAAACAAAAAUGGCCUAAGCCAAGAAGAGAAAUGAUUAUUUCACAUUCCAAGAAGUUUGGGAGUCGAGUGGUUAAACGGCUAAUUAAUCUAGAGCUCAACAGUAUCACCCAGGACCCAUUUUCACUAUGGUGGCUAAAGCUCUGCACCCUUCAGGCUUGCACCAUGGCAGCAGCAGUGACAGUAAAGACACCCUUACACCACAAUGCUCCAUGACCAGGGAGAGGGUCUCCUCUCUCCUGCCCCUUUCUGGAGGCUCCACCGAAGAUUUCUCUUCACAUUCCGUUUCUCAUUCCUGAAGCAGUUGCUGGCAACAGGGAUGGACUUACCGCAAUGGGUACAGAGCAACUAAGAUUCACCACUAGGUGAGUCCUUUGGAAAACACUUGGCCAUCCAAUAUAUAAACAAAUCUGGUACUCCUGUCAGGAAAGAGGCAGCACUUUAUGGCUUCUCUUGGGCAUAUCCAAAUUGCUACCAUCACUACUCGUAUUAGUCCAUUUUCACGCUGCUGAUAAAGACAUACCUGAGACUGAGAAAUUUACCAAAUAAAGAGGUGUACUGGACUUACAGUUCCACAUGGCUGGGGAGGCCUCACAAUCAUGGUGGAAGGCAAGAAGGAGCAAGUCAUGUCUUACAUGGAUGGCAGCUGGCAAAGAGAAAGCUUGUACAGGGAGACUCCCGUUUUGAAAACCAUCAGAUCUUGUGAGACUCAUUCACUAUUACAAGAACAGUGCAGGAAAGAUGCACCCCUGUACUUCAAUCACCUCCCAGCAGGUUCCUCCCACGACAUGUGGGAAUUGUGGGAGUUACAAUUCAAGAUGAGAUUUGGUUGGGGACACAGCCAAACCAUAUCACUACUCUUGUGCUUUGGGGCCAUUAUGAAGUAAAACAAGCAUUAUUUGAACACAAGAACUGCAAUACCACCACAGUAGAUCUGAUAACUGUUGGCUACUAAGUGACUAAGGGGCAGGUGAAGUAUACAGCUUGGAUGCGAUGGACAAAGAGGAAGAUCUACCUCCCAGCUGGGAUGGAGCAGGACGAUGCAAGAUUUCAUCACACUACUCAGAAAGGCAUGCAGUUUAAAGCUCGUAAAUUAUUUCAGGAAUUUUCCAUUUAAUAUUUUCAGGCUGUGGCUGACCGUGAGUAACAAACCCAGGAAAGCGAAACUGCAGAACAGUGGAUGGGAGAAAGGGUGAAUUACUGUAUAUUCAUGAGGGAUAUUAGUCCAUAGUUUCUUUUUUCCCUUUUAACAAAUUUUUGGGUUUUGUAUAUAGUUUGUCUGGUUUUGGUAUCAGGGUAAUACUAGCUUCAUAAAAUGAAUUGGAAAGCGUUUCUUCUGUUUUCCUAAAAAGAUUAUAUGGAAUUAGCAUUCAUUCUUUAAACACUUGGUAGAAAUCUUAAGUAAAACCAUCUGAGCUCGGAGAUUUUUUUGUGUGUGUUAUAAAAUUACAUAUUCAGUUUCCUUAAUAUUUAUAAGAUCAUUUUAAUUAUCUGUGUUUUUCAGUGAAACGGGUCAAUUUUCUGUAUGUUGUCAAAUUAAUAUUUGUAGAAUUGUAUUAGUAUUCUUCAUUAUCCUUUUGAUGUCUGCAGAAUCUGUAAUGGUAUCCCUGUUUUAUUUCUGAUAUUAAUUUGUGCCAUUAUGUCUUUUUUUCUUUGUUGAUCUUGUCAGAAGUUUGUCAAUUUUAUCAAUUUGUUCCAAGAACCAGCUCAUUG
rnacentral:lncRNA from 10 species